rnacentral:ncRNA from 1 species
UGCCUAAGGGCUAGUAUUACCCUUAGGCACAUCUGUAUCUUGUAGCA